GCCGUGGGGGAGCGAACCAGGAUUUAGAUACCCCUGGUUAGUCCCCCGCCCGUAAACCGAUGUUAUACUAGGGUCGCGGAGGGUUUCUGACACCCGUCGCCGGUCGUAGGCAAAAGGUGUUAAAGUAUACCCGCCUGGGGAGUACCGGUCCGCAAGGGCUAAAACUCCAAAGGAAUUGACGGGGGCUCCACACAAGGCGGUGGAGCCAUGUGGAUUAAUUCGAAGCAACGCGCAGAACCUUACCUGGGUUUGACAUGUAUGGAUGCCUAUCUGGAAACAGAGUCGGCUGCCCUCCGGGUGAAACUUACACAGGUGCUGCAUGGCUGUCGUCAGCUCGUGUCGUGAGAUGUCGGGUUAAGUCCUUUAACGAGCGAAACCCUUACUGUUAGUUGCCAGCGCGUCCAUGGCGGGGACUCUAGCGGGACUGCCCGGUGUUAAACCGGAGGAAGGCGGGGAUGACGUCCAAGUCCCUCCAUGGCCUUUAUGCCCAGGGCUUCACACGUGCUGCAAUGGCAGUUACAAAGCGACGCGAUACCGCGAGGUGGAGCA
rnacentral:rRNA from 1 species